CUUAUCCAACGUUCUGCUGGCUUGUUUAUGUUGGAUAAGUGAGACUCUACUGUAUAUUUAUUAUCUUAUAUUAUCUGCUUAGAACUGGAUUAUAUGAGGCCCCUUCUACACAGUUGUAUAAAAUGCACACUGAAGUGGAUUAUAUGGUAGUGUGGAGUCAAGAUAAUCCAGUUCAAAGCAGAUAAUAUAAGAUUAUAAAUGGGUUAUAUAGCUGUGUGGAAGGGCCUUGGGUCUAUACUACCAUAUAAUCCAAUUAAAAUCAGAUAAUAUGUAUUUUAUAGGCAGUGUGGAAGAGGCCUAAGUGAGGCCUAACUCUGCCUGUCCACUGGGCUGAAUGAGUUGCUAGGUGUGGUGAAGUGUAAAUUUUGGUUUACAGUUGUUAUUUUAAUUAUAGGUAUAUGUUUGGAAUGGGUAAGUAUUAGAGUUAUCAGUGCUUGGGGGAUGGUAGCCAGCUCAGCAUUCUGAGGCAGGUUGCCAUAGAAAUGUAGGCGGAACCAACUGCCGUUUGGUAAGAGAGAGCAGGUUUUGAAAAGAGAGUCAGUCUGUGAUCAGGGAAUCACAGGGAAGACUGGUUCUAAGGUAGUGAGAACCAGGGAAGUUCAGAUCUCUAGCUUGUGUCGGUUUUAAAUAGGUCAAGUGACUUAUUUGAGUUAGUAGUGGAGUCUGAGUGAUAAAGGGAAAGAAAUCCCAGUUGGAUCUGUAGUGAUCAGUUGAAUUAAGAACAUCAGUUGGAAGAAAAAAAGUUUAAACUGCUCAAGGGAAGAAAUAAUCCUUUUGAGAAUUGUAUCAUCACAUGUUAUCAUUGUAACUGUUGAAGAAGUGUACCUCUAAGUGAGAAGCAACAUUGAAACCGCUAUGCUUAUGUACCUGAAUAAACUUGUUACUGUUUUUCAACAUCCAAGCCUUUGUUACAUACAUUCUAAGCCAAGUUAUGCUACCCUUUAAAGUAAAAGUAAACAUCUCCUUGCAUCUCUGGUGGUUGCAUCGCCCCACUAGGAGACCAAGUGGGCGGAGCUUAGCCUUCUUUUUAAAUGAUUUUUAUUGAAAUUUUCUUACGUGUACAUAAAUUAAAAAGAGUCGAGUAAGUGAGGGAAGGUUAGGAGAGGGAUGGAGGGAUGGGGAAGAAUAGGUCCCAAAGGGGGGGGGGGAGAGCUUAGCCUUCUAACUGGCAGCAAUUGGAUAAAAACAAUUAUUCCUCUCCCUCUAAUUAGGAUUUUCUUUUUCUUUUCUUUUUGUUGUCUUGUCCUUGAGGCAUGGAUGAGGGGUUGUGCUGUCAAUUUUCAAGGUUCUGGGGUGUUUAGUUUUGUUGUUUUGUCCGGUGCCGUGAUUUUAUCACUCAUAUAUAUAUAUAUAUAUAAAAAUAUUCCAUGGCUGCCGGGUGCCAUUGUUUCCCUUCUGUUUUUCUUGACAGGCGAAAGAAUACCUGCACUGUCCUUGCCAGCUAGUCUGCAGUCCCUCUUCUGCAGAGGUCUCGCGGGCAGUGGAUUACAUGGCCCGCAAAAAUCUGAAGAUGGCCACGGACCACUUUCUGGAGUCCGUCGGGAAUUAAGAGAGCUUGGCCUGGGGAUGGCACUCCCCUGUCCCCAUGGGCGGUCUCCCCAUAGGGUUGGAGACAAGGCUGAACCUCACCAUGAUUCCCGUUUCCUUCUUCUCUAUGGGGCUUAUGGUGAAUUGAUAUGCACCAUACUAAAUUCACUGUAUUGUUGCCUGUAGGCAGCGCUUGACCUGUUUCUGGCCAAGGUGAAGGAGGGACCAUGGCUGGCCCAGGAGGGCAAGGAACAGGGCACCCCCACUUUGGAUGCUUUCAGCAGGAUCCCUUCUUACAUUUGAGCCUCCUUCUUUCUUUCUGCAGACAAAAGCAAUGUGGGCCAUCGGCAGGAUCGUCAGACACAUCAGGGACAGCACUUGCCUGGAGGCAUGGCUCCUGGAGCUUCCGCUCGCCUUGGUGACCAACUUCAUUGAGGUCACAAGGCCUGGGUUGGAGGCACCCAGCAGGAACUGAAGCAACAGCUACAUUCCUCCAGAGAACCUCCUCAAGUCCUCCUCCUCCCUACUCCUGCACCUGCUUUCCACCUGGGAGGAAGAUGCUCCGUUGGGGCAGUUAUUCGGCACAUCAGAACCCGGAUGUUCAGGCCUUAGGGUUGAUGGUGAACGAGGAGAAGUCUCAGUUAUACCCCAAGCAGAGGAUUCACUUCAUCGGAGAAGUUAUAGACUCAUCCAUAGAACGAACCUACCUGCCAGAGUAUUGCUUUUGUAAUAUCCGUUCGGCUAUUUCCGAAGUCUGUUCAAGAGGGUAUGCUUGGCAUAUCCAGUCUAUCUUAGGCCAUAUGGCCUCAAUGACAGCAUUGAUAGACCUAGCAAGGCUCUGGAUGCGCCCUCUGCAAAUUUGGUUUCUGGGGUCCUUUGACCCAUUCACCAACAGUCAACAAAUCAGAUUGAAGCCUCCAGCACGGGUCCUCCGCUCCCUGAGGUGAUAGACGAUACGACAGAACGUCCUCACUGGAAUGCCCUUUCAGCCUCCGGUUCCAUCAUGCCAGCUCACCACAGAUGCUUCUUGCUGAGGCUGGGGAGGGCAUCUAGACAAUCUCAUAAUUAACGGGAAGUGGACAGAGCGACAUUGUCCCCUCGAUAUAAAUCUCCUGGAAUUACUAGCAGUGGAAAAGGCCCUGAAUGCCUUCAAACGACUCCUCAGAGGAACAAUAGUGCGUCUAGUAACGGACAACAUGAUUGUGAAGUUCUACCUGAACAAACAAGGUGGAACACUCAAAAAGUCUACUUUACCUCUGCAUGCGGAUUUGGAAUUGGUGCGUCGACAGGUGAAUAAGACUCCAAGCUGUUCAUCUACCAGGGAAAGACAAUAUCCUUGCAGACACCCUCAGCAGGUCACUCUCAACCGAUCACGAGUGGCAAACUGAACAUCAGGGAGUUCCGCCUGUUAGCCCGAUGCUGGGGUUGGCUGGUGAUAGAUCUCUUUGCCUCCCUACAGAACAACCAGUGCCCCGACUACUGCCCCAGGCUCCUCCCGCACACCGCUCCGGGAUGUGUUCCAGUUCACUUGGACAGGACACCUGUUGUACGCGUUUCCCCCAAUCCGCUGAUAGGCAUGACAGUGUCGAAAAUAAUUUCAGACAAUUCCGACUGCAUCCUGGUGACACUGUAGUGGCCCCGUUGUUCUUUUGAUUUUGUUUAAUGUACUGUAUAUUAUCAUUUAUUGUAUUGUUUAAUGUGUUAUGAUUUGUUGUUCUACUUAUAUUCUGUUAUAUUGUAUCAUUCUGGGCAUGGCCCCAUGUAAGCCGCCCCGAGUCCCCGUUGGGGAGAUGGUGGCGGGGUAUAAAUAAAGUUUAUUAUUAUUAUUAUCAA